ACGGUACAAGGGCUCCGAGACCCAUCCGUACCGGCUAGGUACCUUUUAAGCGCGAUCUAUAGCAGCUGUACCUCAUGUGUACCGCGUGUUUCCGGCGCAUGAGUACGAACGCCUUCUCACGAUAUCCAUGCGCUGCAAAAAUAUUUCGUGUGAUUCCGAAUACCAGUCUAUAAAUUCCCUUAUGCAGCAGUGCCGUAAUGGAUGAGCACUAUCAUUCUGUCAAAGAAGUGCAAUAACUAGAACCCAUGACCGUGAGGGAUCGCAUGUUUGGGAAGAAUUCGUUUCUUGCAACCGCUGCAAAUCAGUUUGUUUUGAAACGUCGGGGAGCGAGGACGAGUCUGCUCGGUCUUCGAAGAAAUUCGUUCGACGCGUUCAAGAUUGAAGUCAUUUAAGUGGUCCUGAUCACCGGCAGGCUGGACACAACGACUGAGGGACGGAGACAACGAACUUUGUGCUUCAUGCACGAACGUUGAUGCGUGAAUUAGAGGAGCCGAGAGUGCAUUUUACACCUGGAUUACACAAGCAAGUUACGUCAAGCGAUGUCGUAAAUGGGUGAGUCAAUCGUCUACUGUGGUUGGUGUUACGUUCUGCGGAAGAAACGGAAGUUGGGGAAGAACAGCUAUCCAAAGGUGUGGAAGAGAUAAAGAAGCGUGACCACAGAGCAGCUGCAGUGGUGAAGGAGAGACGCAGUGGUCAUCGUUCAUCCAUAUACGUUGUGCCCCGUGUGUUCGGCGU